UAUAUAUAUAUAUAUAUAUAUAUAUAUAUAUAUAUAUAUAUAUAUAUAUAGAGAGAGAGAGAGAGAAAGAAAAUACUGACUAAAACAUCCCUAUCAUAACCUGUAAAGAAUUGGUCAAGAAGAAAAUGAUGCCCUCUGGCAGAUAGCAUAGGGCAUUGGUGACAGUGUGGAGGUGAGAGGGACGGGGAAAGUAGAUGUAUAUAAAUAUGGAGAAAAACUACCCACCAAAUCAUCUGCACCAAAACUUGUAAAGAAUUCUUUAACAAAUGACUUGUAACAGAUAGUAUAGGGCAUCAAUGACCAAAUCAAAAAACCAAAAAAAACAUGUGGCACCAAUAGACUUUGGUACUUUGUUG